AACGAACGCUGGCGGCAUGCCUAACACAUGCAAGUCGAACGGGAACUUCGGGUCUAGUGGCGCACGGGUACGUAACACGUGGGAACCUGCCCUUGGGUUCGGAAUACCUCCCCGAAAGGGGUGCUAAUACCGGAUAAUGUCUUCGGACCAAAGAUUUAUUGCCUUUGGAUGGGCCCGCGUUGGAUUAGCUGGUUGGUAGGGUAAAAGCCUACCAAGGCGACGUUCCAUAGCUGGUGUGUGAGGAUGAUCAGCCAGAAUGGGACUGCGACACGGCCCAGACUCCGACGGGAGGGAGCAGUGGGGAAUAUUGUACAAGGGGCGAAAGUCUGAUCCAGCAAUGCCGCGUGUGUCAGGAAGGCCUUAGUGUUGUAAAUCUCUCUUACCCGAGAUGAGAAUGACAGUACCGGGAGAAUAAGCACCGGCUAACUACGUG
rnacentral:rRNA from 1 species